rnacentral:rRNA from 1 species
GACGAACGCUGGCGGCGUGCUUAACACAUGCAAGUCGAACGGAAAGGCCCUGCUUUUGUUGGGCGCUCGAGUGGCGAACGGGUGAGAAACACGUGAGUAACCUGCCCCUGACUUAGGGAUAACUUCAGGAAACUGGGGCUCAUACCGGAUAGGAGCUCCUGCUGCAUGGUGGGGGUUGGAAAGUUUCGGCGGUGGGGGAUGGACUCGCGGCUUAUCAGCUUGUUGGUGGGGUAGUGGCUUACAAAGCCUUUGACGGGUAGCCGGCCUGGGAGGGUGACCGGCCACAUUGGGACUGCGAUACGGCCCAGACUCCUACGGGAGGCAGCAGUGGGGAAUAUUGCACAAUGGGCGGAAGCCUGAUGCAGCAACGCCGCGUGCGGGAUGACGGCCUUCGGGUUGUAAACCGCUUUCGCAGGUGACGAAGCGUGAGUGACGGUAAUGGGUAAAGAAGCACCGGCUAACUACGUG